UGUCAAUCAUGGCCUCAUUGUCUGGUCUAG
rnacentral:piRNA from 1 species